rnacentral:rRNA from 1 species
UACGUAGGCAGCGAGCGUUGUUCGGAAUUACUGGGCGUAAAGAGUGUGUAGGCGGUGCUCCCAGUCUGUUGUGAAAUCUCCCGGCUUAACUGGGAGGGUGCAGCGGAAACUAGAGUGCUAGAGGGUGGGAGAGGUAAGCGGAAUUCCUGGUGUAGCGGUGAAAUGCGUAGAUAUCAGGAGGAACACCUGUGGUGUAGACAGCUUACUGGACCACUUCUGACGCUGAGACACGAAAGCGUGGGUAGCAAACAGC